AUACCAGAUGCUGUAAGCAU
rnacentral:rRNA from 1 species